rnacentral:lncRNA from 1 species
CCGUGAUAUCAGUGUCUAGUGUGAAAUAUAGUCAGUACAGCAACGAUUCGUGAGUUACAAUUGUGGCGAUUCACUGAUUCCAUCGAGUGUUUUGAGACUUCAAUCGUGGUAGCUUCCAUUUUUCAGUGCAGUCUCCGUGAUAGUGUUGUGAGUGCUUUCAGCUUGGCGUCGGGCAAUUGGAUAACCUCCUGCUGAAUCGAUAGCUACAGGACUCUCCUAAGGAUUGAAAGCCACGGGCCUCUCAUAAGG